UCCAUCACAACCUCCUUCCUCCUUUCCCUGGGACCGAAAAAACAGCCUGAUUAAGAAAACCCCCUUUGAGAGAAAGAGAGAGGGAGGGAGCAAGAGAGAGGGAGGGAGGGGGAAGGGAGGAAGGAGGGUGAGAGAGGGAGGGAAGCAGAGAGAGCCCCUUUGGAUUUUUAAAAUAAAGGUCUAAUUAUCAUUCCCUUGCAGUAGUAUCACAGAGAGAAAGGAACCAAGACCCACAGUCACUUUAAACGGGCUGAUUAUUUUGUUUGGGUAUUAACUCCUCCGGAUUUGUUUGAGAUCCUGUUGGAAAAUCUCAUUUGCAUGCUUUGAUAACAGCUGAGGGCAAACUUGUUGGGGGGGGGGAGAAUGCACAUCUAUAACAAUCAAACCUUCUUCUGCUGCCCCGCCCCCGGCAACUUUUCCUGCAGAUUUGUUUUGGCGAAGAGCACAGGGAGAGACUGAGACAGAAAAGCAAAAGAGCAAGCCCAUUAAAGCUCGUUUGGCUCUGUAGAGACAGCCUAUUAAAUAAUGUAAUAAAAUAACAAGAGCGAUAAUAACUGGAGGCGCUCUACGUUCUAAAGGCAGCUUGGAGAGAUCCAGAAGUCUUCAGCUUCGAAUGGAUUCGAGACUUUCGCUGCCACCAGAAAUCUCCAGGCUUCGGACCGCAGAAAACUUACAUACUUAUUAAACAGAAGGAAAACCCGUCCUGGUCGUUCCCCUACCCUUCCAACGGGUGAAAUUUCUUAGGUGUGGCCGAGGUCGCUUUCCCAGGAGACGAAGAUUUAAAAACAAAACCAAGCAGAUUCCCCAGGCCAGUCAUCAGGCCAUGAUUAAAAUCUGUUCCUCACUGAUGAUCAGUCCCAUGAUUUGAAACACCAGUUGAAGUGCUACACGGGAAUUAAUGCAUUUACAAUGUAAAGAAGUACUCAUCCAGGGACGUGAAACUAUUUUCUGUGUGCAGUACCAAAGGAAAGCCUAUAUGGAUAUCUCAUGGUACCUCAGACUCCGAGACACUGAAGUAUUUCAAAGCUUCUCAGAGAUGCCCAGAGAAAAUCCUUAAUGCAGAACUAAAGGAAAGUUAAUCUGAAUUCCAAGCAUUCCAGAUGUAACAGAAAGAAGGCAUGCUUCUGAAUCAGAGAGUCCUAGGUGAGUCCCCUUCAGCCCUUGCCAGUCGAGCAAUCUUGGCGAAGGUAUCAAACCUCUCUAAGUCUCAUUGCUAAUUUACAGAAUAAAGGAAAUAUUAGUUGGGGGAGGUGGGAACA
rnacentral:lncRNA from 1 species